ACUACGAGUAAAGAUGCUCGUUUCGCGCAGCAGGACGGAAAGACCCCGGGACCUUUACUACAGUUUGAUAUUGGUGUUCGGUUCGGCUUGUGUAGGAUAGGUGGGAGACUUUGAAGCUUGGACGCCAGUUCAGGUGGAGUCGUCGUUGAAAUACCACUCUGGUCGUGCUGGAUGUCUAACCUGGGUCCGUGAUCCGGAUCAGGGACAGUGUCUGAUGGGUAGUUUAACUGGGGCGGUUGCCUCCUAAAGAGUAACGGAGGCGCCCAAAGGUUCCCUCAGCCUGGUUGGUAAUCAGGUGUUGAGUGUAAGUGCACAAGGGAGCUUGACUGUGAGACCGACGGGUCGAGCAGGGACGAAAGUCGGGACUAGUGAUCCGGCGGUGGCUUGUGGAAGCGCCGUCGCUCAACGGAUAAAAGGUACCCCGGGGAUAACAGGCUGAUCUUCCCCAAGAGUCCAUAUCGACGGGAUGGUUUGGCACCUCGAUGUCGGCUCGUCGCAUCCUGGGGCUGGAGUCGGUCCCAAGGGUUGGGCUGUUCGCCCAUUAAAGCGGUACGCGAGCUGGGUUUAGAACGUCGUGAGACAGUUCGGUCCCUAUCCGCUGCGCGCGCAGGAGUCUUGAGAAGGGCUGUCCCUAGUACGAGAGGACCGGGACGGACGAACCUCUGGUGUGCCAGUUGUCCUGCCAAGGGCAUGGCUGGUUGGCUACGUUCGGGAGGGAUAACCGCUGAAAGCAUCUAAGCGGGAAGCCUGCUUCGAGAUGAGGACUCCCACCCACUUGAUGGGGUAAGGCUCCCAGUAGACGACUGGGUUGAUAGGCCGGAUAUGGAAGCACCGUGAGGUGUGGAGUUGACCGGUACUAAUAGGCCGA
rfam:Streptomyces niveus NCIMB 11891 chromosome, whole genome shotgun sequence.